AGAUGGCGACCGGCGCACGGGUGAGUAACACGUAUCCGACCUGCCGAUAACUCGGGGAUAGCCUUUCGAAAGAAAGAUUAAUACCCGAUGGUAUAAUCAGACCGCAUGGUCUUGUUAUUAAAGAAUUUCGGUUAUCGAUGGGGAUGCGUUCCAUUAGGCAGUUGGUGAGGUAACGGCUCACCAAACCUUCGAUGGAUAGGGGUUCUGAGAGGAAGGUCCCCCACAUUGGAACUGAGACACGGUCCAA
rnacentral:rRNA from 1 species